GACGAACGCUGGCGGCGUGCUUAACACAUGCAAGUCGAACGGAAAGGCCCUGCUUGCAGGGUACUCGAGUGGCGAACGGGUGAGUAACACGUGGGUGAUCUGCCCUGCACUUCGGGAUAAGCCUGGGAAACUGGGUCUAAUACCGGAUAGGAGCCAUUUUUAGUGUGAUGGUUGGAAAGUUUUUUCGGUGUAGGAUGAGCUCGCGGCCUAUCAGCUUGUUGGUGGGGUAAUGGCCUACCAAGGCGGCGACGGGUAGCCGGCCUGAGAGGGUGGACGGCCACAUUGGGACUGAGAUACGGCCCAGACUCCUACGGGAGGCAGCAGUGGGGAAUAUUGCACAAUGGGCGCAAGCCUGAUGCAGCGACGCCGCGUGGGGGAUGACGGCCUUCGGGUUGUAAACUCCUUUCGCUAGGGACGAAGCUUUUUGUGACGGUACCUAGAGAAGAAGCACCGGCUAACUACGUG
rnacentral:rRNA from 1 species